rnacentral:misc_RNA from 1 species
UACAGAGGGCGCAAGCGUUAAUCGGAUUUACUGGGCGUAAAGGGUGUGUAGGUGGUUUCGUAAGUCGGAUGUGAAAGCCCUGGGCUCAACCUGGGAACUGCAUUCGAAACUGCGAAGCUAGAGUACGGUAGAGGGCGGUGGAAUUUCCGGUGUAGCGGUGAAAUGCGUAGAUAUCGGAAGGAACACCAAUGGCGAAGGCAGCCGCCUGGGCCUGUACUGACGCUGAAACACGAAAGCGUGGGGAUCAAACAGG